AUUGAACGCUGGCGGCAUGCCUUACACAUGCAAGUCGAACGGCAGCACGGGAGCAAUCCUGGUGGCGAGUGGCGAACGGGUGAGUAAUGUAUCGGAACGUACCUUUCAGUGGGGGAUAACGUAGCGAAAGUUACGCUAAUACCGCAUAUUCUGUGAGCAGGAAAGCAGGGGAGUCGCAAGACCUUGCGCUGAUUGAGCGGCCGAUAUCAGAUUAGCUAGUUGGUGAGGUAAAGGCUCACCAAGGCGACGAUCUGUAGCGGGUCUGAGAGGAUGAUCCGCCACACUGGAACUGAGACACGGUCCAGACUCCUACGGGAGGCAGCAGUGGGGAAUUUUGGACAAUGGGCGCAAGCCUGAUCCAGCCAUGCCGCGUGAGUGAAGAAAGGCCUCG
rnacentral:rRNA from 1 species